CAGAUGAUUCUUCAUGGAAUUCUUUCUUCCACUGGUUUAUUUUUCAGUGUCAUAGACUGAAAUGCUGGUUGAAAACUUAUUAGUAAUAAGCUGCCAACAAGCCUUUGAAGUAAUGCUCUUAUUAAGAGCUUCAAAAAGACUCCAUUGACCUAUGGCAUUGAGCAUUACUGCUGAAUUGGAAUAACAUAUUUAAAGAAAAAAAGAAUUUGUCAAAGUAUGAAUAGCUCACAGAGUCUUUGGGAAAAUUAGAGAGUCAAGAACAACAUCCAACCACACGACAGAGGGCUGCUCCAGCAAAAGCAGCUGGCCACCAUCACUUGCCUCCCAAACUACAUCUUUAACAACCCUCUACUUCUUCAGUGAUGCUCAGGAUGGGCUGUCAGAAUAUCUAUAACUAGUGCCCUGAAGAGCUUGUCACCUCUGUCACCUGCUUUCAGAGAGGUCAAUAAAGUGGUCUCUGAGAAGGUAGCAUUAAGGCUGAUAACCUGAAGCAUGACAAAGGGCUUGCCAGGCACAAAAACCAAAACCAACCAACCAACCAACCAACCAACCAACCAACCAACCAACCAAACAUUAGAAGAUAAUGGAAAAUGUUUUAUUUAUAGCAGGGGAAUGCUCAGCAGCUUCCAGAAACUGAAGAAUUCUGUAUGCUAAAGAGUGG